rnacentral:rRNA from 1 species
CUCGAAAGCCUGUCCCAGUUCGGACUGGAGUCUGCAACCCGACUCCACGAAGUUGGAUUCGCUAGUAAUCGCGCAUCAGCCAUGGCGCGGUGAAUACGUUCCCGGGCCUUGUACACACCGCCCGUCAAGCCAUGGGAGCCGGGGGGCGCCUGAAGUCCGGGACCGCGAGGACCGGCCUAGGGCGAAACUGGUAACUGGGGCUAAGUCGUAACAAGGUAAC